AGCUUUGCGCAGUGGCAGUAUCGUAGCCAAUGAGGUUUAUCUGAGGCGUGAUUAUUGCUAAUUGAAAAUGUGUUUAAAUGGUUAAAUGUCUAGAAUCAUCAAAUUUUUGAGAAAUGUUUAAAUU
ensembl:snRNA U4 U4 spliceosomal RNA